GCCCUUGUAGCUCAGUGGCAGAGCACCGAUCUUGUAAAUCGGGUUGUCGAGCGUUCGAUUCGUUCCUGGGGCUC
rnacentral:tRNA from 12 species